GUUUCGCAUCCUCAUCAUGUAGCGCCAGCCACACCAGGAACAGAAGGGUGCCGGGUACCUUCCGCAUGCUUGGUAUUCUCCCCGCGGGGCUCUGACCGCUGCCGCUCUCAGGCACCUGUCUUUCCUCUCCGUCCCAGAAUGGAGCCAAGACAAGGGAAUAAACGAAAUUCAAUAGUACACGGAGAUCGGGUGUCUGGGCAGCGUCUUGGAAAAACUAUCCACUACAGUACAGGUCAAGUGAAGUUCUUCUGCUGAUAUGUUCUGCUACUGCAUAAGAGACGGAAUCUAUGUUGCCUCGACUGGUCCUGAACUCCUGGGCUAAAGCGAUCCUUCUGCCUUGGCCUCCCAAAGUGCGAGGAUUAUAGGUGUGAGCCACCCAACCUGGCCUUUGCCAGUAUUUUUAAAUCCAAACACCUAUGCAUGGUGCUUACUAAUAACACAGUGGUAUUCUAAACAUUUUUCACCUAUUAUUUAAUCUUUAUUAUUAUCACUAUGUUACAGAUAAGGACCCCUGGCUAAAUAGCUUACCCAACAUUACUCCGUUAAUAAAUGGUAGAACCUGUAUUUCACUCAAGCAGUCUGGUGUCCAUGCGAUUAACACUAGACUAUGUUGUCUCUCAAAAACUCAUCCUGAUUACCAAGCAAUCAACAACACAGAAGACAACUUCUGCAACCCUAUCGGGAGAGGAGGGGUUCUCUCCACCACCAGUCCCCUGGAAGAAUUCUCAAAACACAGAAUGCUUGCCAAGUCAAUCCUAAGCCAAAAGAACAAAGCUGGAGGCAUCACACUACCUGACUUCAAACUAUACUACAAGGCUGCAGUAACCAAAACAGCAUGGUACUGGUACCAAAACAGAGAUAUAGACCAAUGGAACAGAACAGAGCCCUCAGAAAUAAUGCCACUUAUCUACAACCAUCUGAUCUUUGACAAACCUGACAAAAACAAGAAAUGGGCAAAGGAUUCCCUAUUUAAUAAAUGGUGCUGGGAAAACUGGCUAGCCAUAUGUAGAAAGCUGAAACUGGAUCCCUUCCUUACACCUUAUGCUAAAAUUAAUUCAAGAUGGAUUAAAGACUUAAAUGUUAGACCUAAAAC